GUGAGGAAUUUUCCGCAAUGGGCGAAAGCCUGACGGAGCAAUGCCGCGUGAAGGAUGAAGGCCUAUGGGUUGUAAACUUCUUUUCUCAGAAAAGAAUUAUGACGGUAUCUGAGGAAUAAGCAUCGGCUAACUCUGUGCCAGCAGCCGCGGUAAGACAGAGGAUGCAAGCGUUAUCCGGAAUGAUUGGGCGUAAAGCGUCUGUAGGUUGUUUAAAAAGUAUUCUGUCAAAGAUUAGGGCUUAACCCUAGAUAGGCAGAAUAAACUUUUAAGCUAGAGUUUGGUAGAGGCAGAGGGAAUUCCCGGUGGAGCGGUGAAAUGCGUAGAUAUCAGGAGGAACACCAAAGGCGAAGGCACUCUGCUGGGCCAAUACUAACACUGAGAGACGAAAGCGAGGGGAGCAAAUGGGAUUAGAUACCCGUGUAGUCC
rnacentral:rRNA from 1 species